rnacentral:rRNA from 1 species
CAGCAGCCACGGUAAUACAGAGGGUGCGAGCGUUAAUCGGAUUUACUGGGCGUAAAGCGUGCGUAGGCGGCUUCUUAAGUCGGAUGUGAAAUCCCUGAGCUUAACUUAGGAAUCGCAUUCGAUACUGGGAAGCUAGAGUAUGGGAGAGGAUGGUAGAAUUCCAGGUGUAGCGGUGAAAUGCGUAGAGAUCUGGAGGAAUACCGAUGGCGAAGGCAGCCAUCUGGCCUAAUACUGACGCUGAGGUACGAAAGCAUGGGGAGCAAACAGGAUUAGAUACCCCCGUAGUCCCUGUCUCUUAUAA